CACGUAGGGCGCGAGCGUUGUCCGGAAUUAUUGGGCGUAAAGAGCUCGUAGGCGGUUUGUCGCGUCUGCUGUGAAAACCCGCAGCUCAACUGUGGGCUUGCAGCUGAUACGGGCAGGCUUGAGUUCGGUAGGGGAGACUGGAAUUCCUGGUGUAGCGGUGGAAUGCGCAGAUAUCAGGAAGAACACCCGUGGCGAAGGCGGCUCUCUGGAACGCAACUGACGCUGAGACGCGAAAGCGUGGGGAGCAAACAGG
rnacentral:rRNA from 1 species